AGGUGCUGUUUGAAAAAAAGGUUGCCAGGGUACUCUGAAAAGUUGCUAAAUCUAGCAACAACAUUGCUAAGUUGGCAUCACUGGUCCAUAGUGUCUGUGUAACAGUCUUGAUGUUUGACAUCCCUAGUACAAGGAGGAACUGGUGACUACCCUGAAUAGGCUAUGGAGGAAGCUGGGGACCUGUCUUAAUACACAACAAGACUUAGAAGAAACUGCAGGGCGUAUUAAGAGCCAGACCCAGCACACUGAACAGCAGAUAAUAGGUGAGUUUGAGCAGCGUCAUCAGUUCCUGAGAGAGGAUGAGGCAGCCAGGAUCGCUGCCUUGAAGAACGAGGUUGAGUAGAAGAUGAAGCCGAUUCAAGAUAAGAUAGAGUCGAUGGAUAGAGACACAGACUCUCACUGAUGGGAUCCAAACCCUAGAGCAUUAGCUGGGACGAUCAUUCCUUCAGGCCAGGAGUCAAGACUGCUCACUCUAAGACUGCUCAAGACUGCUCACUCUAAGACUGUUCAA